rnacentral:tRNA from 1 species
GCCUGGCUGGCUCAGUCAGCAGAACAUGUGACUCUUAAUCUCGGGGGUGUGAGUUCAAGCCCCAUGUUGGGCA